UACAGAGGCCUCGAGCGUUAGGCGGAAUCACUGGGCUUAAAGCGUGUGUAGGUGGAUGCCUAAGUACCUUGUGAAAUCCCAUGGCUUAACCAUGGAAUUGCUUGGUAUACUGGGUGUCUUGAGCCACUCAGGGGCGAGCGGAACAAACGGUGGAGCGGUGAAAUGCGUAGAUAUCAUUUGGAACGCCAAUGGUGAAAACAGGUAGCUGGGAGUGUGCUGACGCUGAGACACGAAAGCCAGGGGAGCGAACGGG
rnacentral:rRNA from 1 species